rnacentral:ncRNA from 1 species
CUUAUCCGGAGUGACUGAGGGAACAGGCCCUAUGACGUCCGACAACCUACCCGAAAAUCGGGCAAGGUGCCAAAUCCUGCGGUCUGACCGAAAGAUGAG